UCAUUGGACGUCAUUUAUUUUCAUCAACGUCCUAAUAAGUACUACAAAAGAAUAACUGCGCUCUUAUAAAAGAAUAACUGCACCCUUUAAUUUAGAUUCCUUGCUCCACCCCUGGUAAACAAAUGUUUUGGCAAUGGUAUUGAAUCACAUUGUGCUUUAAGGGCGAAUAAACAAAAUUCGCAUAACACUUGAGCUGAAAGAUGUACAUAAAUCAGAUCUUAAUUAACCAGCUUCCACUCAGACAAUUCCAGAGUUUAUUUUUUUUGAGAUCAUAGUAUAAAUAUAUUAAUCAUCUGAAUCCAAAUUACAUGCCUGAUCAGCGUGCUUAAAUGCAUCGUCAGGUAUAAAAGAACAUCAAAGACAACAAACAAAACAAAACUGUAAUGAAACCUGUGUUGCUGCAUCAUUCCCUGCGAAGUCCUGCUGUGGUGCUGCCGAGUCUUCAACCCUAUACCUGUUGCUUCUUCCCAACCUAUUCAGCUCUUGAAUCAACUGCCAACUUAUCCUUGCCUAUUCUGCCAUCAGACAAUUCCAGAGUUGUGACAUUGUUGAGAGCUUUGAGAAAUGUAAGCAGACGCUGAGUAGGCAAUCAAGAACAAAUACCAAUUUAGUUCUAACGAGAGAGUAAAGACUCUCCAUAGAAAAGUUGUCCUACAAAUGACACCAUCAAACUCUAGGAAUAGAGUAGAGACAUUGAUCUUACAAGAACCAUUACAACAUUGGAUCCAAUCCCUAAUUGUUCCUAUCACCAAGCUCUUAUCCAAAUUCAUGAGAUAUCCAUAUAAACAAUCUAUCAUAAUUAAAUUCUCUAAAACUAGGCAUCUCAGUACUAAUUCCACAUUGGAAUCACCAAUUGGUAACCUAGUUGAAAUGGAUUGGUAGCUGAACAACUGAACAUUUCUGGUUAUCGACAUAAAGAGGAAUUGAGGCAGUACAAUGGAAUCCCAAAAAGUGAGAAAAAGGUUAAGUUCUUGAACAUGUCUAAUAAAUGCAAUACUAACCCAUGUAUUAACUCCACAUUUUCUACAGCUAGUUGCAUGAUCUAAUCUAAAGAUAGAGAAAAUUUAUGUAAAUGCAAAAUCUGAUCUACAAAAUCCAUAAACAAUCUUUAUUUAUUCUUCAUUAGUAGUUCUUCACAUUGGAAAAUAUUGAAUUUAAGAUUGGGAACUAGAAAUACCUUUAUUUAGUUAGCAAAGUAUAUGAUGUAGUAGCUAGACAUUCAUUCACCAUCGUGAUCGCUGGCGACGACGGGGAGGGUUUCUAUAGCAGCAGAAGAAGGAGAUGAGUAGAACUAGAAAAACAAGAAGAGGAAUAGAUAUAAUGAGAUUGGGAGGUAAAGCAGGGAGAAAUGAGAAAUAUACACACAAGAACACCAAGUAGAGAAUUGCAAGAACAAGACCAGCACACACACAAGAACACAUAUCUCAGGCACUCUUGGAGUGCCAAACUUCUUCCAAAAUUUCUCUUGGUGUGGUAGUGUCGGUAGCAAUAUUUGACAACUAAUUUCAGUUUUAUUAGUUAAUUAGUGUCAACUGUCAAGCCAGUAAAGAUGGACUGGGACCUUUCGUAUCCACAAACAAUUAGUAACAUGUUUUGCUGAUUGAUGAGACUGAUCAAAU
rnacentral:lncRNA from 1 species